rnacentral:rRNA from 1 species
AUUGAACGCUGGCGGCAUGCCUUACACAUGCAAGUCGAACGGUAACAGGGUGCUUGCACCGCUGACGAGUGGCGAACGGGUGAGUAAUGCGUCGGAACGUGCCGAGUAGUGGGGGAUAACGCAUCGAAAGGUGUGCUAAUACCGCAUACGUACUGAGGUAGAAAGUGGGGGACCUUCGGGCCUCACGCUAUUCGAGCGGCCGACGUCUGAUUAGCUAGUUGGUGAGGUAAAGGCUCACCAAGGCGACGAUCAGUAGCGGGUCUGAGAGGAUGAGCCGCCACACUGGGACUGAGACACGGCCCAGACUCCUACGGGAGGCAGCAGUGGGGAAUUUUGGACAAUGGGCGCAAGCCUGAUCCAGCCAUGCCGCGUGUCUGAAGAAGGCCUUCGGGUUGUAAAGGACUUUUGUCCGGGAGCAAAUACCCAGUGCUAAUAACGCUGGGGGCUGAGAGUACCGGAAGAAUAAGCACCGGCUAACUACGUGCCAGCCGCCGCGGUAACAC